rnacentral:piRNA from 1 species
UGAAGGAGAGGGGGACAUUGUGGGCAGGAU